rnacentral:rRNA from 1 species
GACGAACGCUGGCGGCGUGCUUAACACAUGCAAGUCGAACGGAAAGGCCCUGCUUUUGUGGGGUGCUCGAGUGGCGAACGGGUGAGUAACACGUGAGUAACCUGCCCUUGACUUUGGGAUAACUUCAGGAAACUGGGGCUAAUACCGGAUAGGAGCUCCUGCUGCAUGGUGGGGGUUGGAAAGUUUCGGCGGUUGGGGAUGGACUCGCGGCUUAUCAGCUUGUUGGUGGGGUAGUGGCUUACCAAGGCUUUGACGGGUAGCCGGCCUGAGAGGGUGACCGGCCGCAUUGGGACUGAGGUACGGCCCAGACUCCUACGGGAGGCAGCAGUGGGGAAUAUUGCACAAUGGGCGGAAGCCUGAUGCAGCAACGCCGCGUGCGGGAUGACGGCCUUCGGGUUGUAAACCGCUUUCGCCUGUGACGAAGCGUGAGUGACGGUAAUGGGUAAAGAAGCACCGGCUAACUACGUG